rnacentral:rRNA from 1 species
GUGGGGAAUAUUGGGCAAUGGGGGAAACCCUGACCCAGCGACGCCGUGUGAGGGAAGAAGGCUUUCGGGUCGUAAACCUCUGUCAGAAAGGAAGAACCUCCCAAGUCCGAAUAGGGCUUGGGACUGACGGUACUUUCAAAGGAAGCACCGGCUAACUCCGUGCCAGCAGCCGCGGUAAUACGGAGGGUGCAAGCGUUAAUCGGAAUCACUGGGCGUAAAGCGCGCGUAGGCCGCUUUGUAAGUCGGACGUGAAAGCCCUCGGCUCAACCGGGGAACUGCGUUCGAUACUGCGAGGCUUGAGUCCUGGAGAGGGUGGCGGAAUUCCGGGUGUAGGAGUGAAAUCCGUAGAUAUCCGGAGGAACACCGGUGGCGAAGGCGGCCACCUGGACAGGUACUGACGCUGAGGCGCGAAAGCGUGGGGAGCAAACAGGAUUAGAUACCCGGGUAGUCC